AGCGCGGCGAGCGGCUGGUCUGCCGCGAGGAGCUGAGUGUGCAGCAGACCCCAGACACCUUUUCAAUCAAGGAUGAAGAGGAUAUUUGUGGAGGCAGUCCUGCUGUAGGAGACGGCAAUGACAUCAGAGACUGCAGCACGCAGCGCG